UUUCACACUGUAAUUGUGUGACACUCAAAGCAGAUUGGGGCAGCUUUGCCGACUUUGAGCUUCAGAAACCCCCCCCCACAAGCAGAGAGUUUCCAUAUUCAGGCUGUGAAGCAGGUUGUUGUGAGUCGGCUGUGUGGUCGCUGGCUUUGACAAAUGUAAUCUUUGUUUUUCAUGAUUUGUUCAAUUCUACGAAGGGUUUUAUGUCGACCAAUCUGUAUGGGAGAAGGCUGUAUGAGACAUGCAAUAAU